CUGGUGAGUCACGUCAGUUAACAAGGACCUGGUGGCAGCCAGAGGCUGGCGACUCGCUCCGAGAUGGGUGACCCUUGGGGCUGGUGGCCGCUCCGUGGCGAGUGCGCCUGUAGAAGGGAACCAGCAUGGCUGACAGGCGUGCUGCUUCUCAGCAGAAGCACAUAACAAAUGGAGGGGGAGCCUGCCUGGCCAAGAGGCAGGUGGGAGGCAGACUUGUAUUCUCUGUGAACAGGGGCACUUGAGGAGACAAGAAGCAGGAAAAUAUUUAACUGGCUUGAAACACUGACAAAACGUGGACUUCUAUGGAGGCAAGGCCAAGCUUUACAGGACUCUGGGACUCUGCAAUGCUUCUUAAUAAUAAAACAACUGGUUGAGAAA